GGAAAAGUAGUCUAAAAAAGGACGUCGGUUUCAUAAUUCGAAAGUGGUAAAUAACCCUUUUCUA